rnacentral:rRNA from 1 species
AGAGUUUGAUCCUGGCUCAGAAUCAACGCUGGCGGCAUGCCUAACACAUGCAAGUCGAACGCGAAAGUGGAGCAAUCCAUGAGUAGAGUGGCGAACGGGUGAGUAACACGUGGGUGACCUACCUUCGAAUGGGGGAUAACGUUCCGAAAGGGACGCUAAUACCGCAUAACAUCCUGCCUUUGAACAGGUGGAGAUCAAAGCUGGGGAUCGCAAGACCUGGCGUUUGAAGAGGGGCCCGCGUCCGAUUAGCUAGUUGGUGAGGUAAUGGCUCACCAAGGCAACGAUCGGUAGCCGGCCUGAGAGGGCGGACGGCCACACUGGGACUGAGACACGGCCCAGACUCCUACGGGAGGCAGCAGUGGGGAAUCGUUCGCAAUGGGCGCAAGCCUGACGACGCAAUGCCGCGUGGAGGAUGAAGGUCUUCGGAUUGUAAACUCCUGUUGCCCGGGACGAACGUCUCCGACCUAACACGUCGGAGAGUGACGGUACCGGGUGAGGAAGCCCCGGCUAACUCUGUGCCAGCAGCCGCGGUAAUACAGAGGGGGCAAGCGUUGUUCGGAAUUACUGGGCGUAAAGGGCGCGUAGGCGGCCUGCUAAGUCGAACGUGAAAUCCCCGGGCUCAACCCGGGAACUGCGUUCGAGACUGGCGGGCUUGAAUUCGGGAGAGGGAUGCGGAAUUCCAGGUGUAGCGGUGAAAUGCGUAGAUAUCUGGAGGAACACCGGUGGCGAAGGCGGCAUCCUGGACCGACAUUGACGCUGAGGCGCGAAAGCCAGGGGAGCAAACGGGAUUAGAUACCCCG